GACGAACGCUGGCGGCGUGCCUAAUACAUGCAAGUCGAACGCAGUGGCGGACGGGUGAGUAACACGUGGGUGACCUGCCCUGCACUUCGGGAUAAGCCUGGGAAACUGGGUCUAAUACCGGAUAGUGUGGGAUGGGCCCACGGCCUAUCAGCUUGUUGGUGGGGUAAUGGCCUACCAAGGCGGCGACGGGUAGCCGGCCUGGGAGGGGGGACGGCGACAAUGGGCCUGAGACAGGGCCCAGACUGCGACGGGAGGCAGCGGUGGGGAAUAUGGCACAAUGGGGGGAAGCCUGAGGCAGCGACGCCGGGUGGGGGAUGAAGGCCUUCGGGUUGUAAACUCCUUUCACCAUCGACGCGGUAGAUGGAGAAGAAGCACCGGCUAACUACGUGCCAGCCGCCGCGGUAAUAC
rnacentral:rRNA from 1 species